rnacentral:lncRNA from 1 species
GGUCUGCUGCGGGCAUGUCCAGGCAAGACAAGUCCAGGUUCCCUUAUCUGCACAUAACAUCUGGUGUAAACACUUGUGGGGCUGGUUGGAGAUUCUCCGGGGACCCUUCCGUAUCUGCCUAGGCAUUUUGCUGUCUCCUCCUAAUACGGAACAAGCACAAUAUAAAAAACAAUUAGAGCAGUUAAACAAGGAUAUAAUACAGCUUCACUAAAUAAGAAGGAACUCACACUUAAAGAUGUGGAACGUAAAUUCUACAAAAUGAAAACUGCUUAUGAAGACGUUACAACUGAGUUAGAAGAAUAUAAGGAAGCCUUUGCAGCAGCAUUGAAAGCUAACAGUUCCAUGUCAAAAAAAUUAACUAAAUCGAAUAAGAAAAUAGCAAUGAUCAGUAUCAGCUCUUUAUGGAGAAAGAGCAGGUGAAAUAUUUUCUCAGCACUCUUCCUACAAGGCGAGGUCGAGAGUCACCUUGUGUUGAAAAUCUUACUAGUAUAGGACUCAACAGAAAAUAUAUUCCCCAAAUGCCCAUAAGAAUUCCUACUUCAAACCGUCAGACUUCAAAUAACUGCCAGAACUACUUGACUGAGAUGGAGCCGGACUGUGUAGAACAAAUAAUUAGAGAAACAAAGAGAACUGCUGCUGUGUCGGACACUUGCUCCCAUCUACUUUCUUCUCUAGAAUCCACGGGUAAGCCACAUCUAACGAAGAGAAUAUUUAACCAUAAAGUCUUAAAGAAAAAUUGUAUGAUUUAAAAGAUUAUAAAACUUUAUUACUGGGCUAUUUACACAUUUUAGUUGUUUCUCAUAAAAUGUAUAACAUUACAAUAUUUACUGAAGUAGGAUAUUUUUGUAUGAUAUAUAUGAUGAUAAUUUAUAGGGUAUUUUAAAUGAUGUUUUUUAGCCUCCUUAAGUUUUAAGUGGAUCUUGCAAAUGAAAACCAGUAUUAUUGAGUUUGACAUACUCAAAUUGCCCAAAUGUCAGCUGUUUAAACAACCAAGUCAUCAUUGAUACUUUAGUAAAGGUUAGUAAAGGUCAUCAAAGUCUUAUUUGCAUUUUACAGUUUUUAUUACUUAGGAGACUUAAGGAGUACCUGCCAGGUUUGUCCAUGCUAAUGUUAUGAUUUUCUUUUUGUAGUUCAACCGUAUUUUGUAUGGAGAUACUUUGAGGCUCUGUAAAUAUCUUGUUACUCCUCAGAACCCACUAGAUUUAGCAUUUCAUGAUGACUUGUGUUUGAACAAUUAUUACUUUGAUGGAUGCCAGAUGAUUAUUUUCCUAUUGUCUUCUUUGUUCUACAUGGAGAAAUAAAACCAAUAAAUAAGGGAGAAGGAAAGCUCUUGAUUCUGAUGCUUCAAUUCCCCAAGAUUAGGCCAGUAGUAGACAUUCCAAGCUGACUUUAUGUCUCUUUGAUUUGUCUCCGUUACUCUGUCAGCACUUUUUUAAUUUCUGGCAGAAGAUGUUCUAAGCUCAUCUUGUAUUUUCUCUGCCCCAGCUCUGGAAUGAGUAAUUUUUUUUAGAAGCAGAGGUGGAGCCAAUGAGGAAGCACAGGUGAGCCCUCCCCAGUGUGUACUCACUGGUCCCCAACAGAAGAACCGCUGCCACAUCCACUGAGGUACCAGGAAACUAGCAAAGAGCCUUCUGGCUGUCUGGAGAGAGUCCUCAUGUGGUCCCUGGCUGAGCCUCAGAGGUUCUGGAUUAGUCUUCCUGUAGCCUCUGUGUUGUGUCUUUAGAUCGGGGCUAUAUGGGAAGGGCCCUGGGAGACCCAACAGCACAGUGUGUCUCAUCUGCCAAACGUCCCUCCCUUCCUCACACUCUGACACUCAGGAAUAGGGUAGAUGGUGUGUCCAGGCAGUGUCAGGCCACCUCACUUUCUCCUUUGAGACGGCCCAGAGGGCCUUUGGUGUGAGUGUGGAGCUGGGAACCUGGAGCCUGAGGCCAACUGUCUCUCCCUGUGUCUUGGAGGAAAGGCCAUGUCUCAAAAAAACCCCCAGGGCCUGACCUCUGGGCACACAUGCAGGGAGGGAGGGUCUAUGAGCUGAGGGGGACAUUGUAAUGAGACUUUGAGCCCCGUUGCUCAAGGGCCUGGUCAGUGGACCAUGGUCAGAGAUGACCUGGUCAUCAGGACCUAGUCAUGUGGGACCUGAUCAGCAGGGGCCUGGUUAGUGGCGGCCUCCUCAGUAAAGGCCUCAUCAGUGGGGACCUGGUGACCUAAUCAUUGGAAGCCUGGUCAGUGGGGGGACCUAGUCAGUGGUGGCCUUAUUAGUGGGGCCUGAUCAGUUGGAACAUAAACAAUGAAAAACUGGUUGGUGAGGCAUAUACAGUAUACCAGAGGCCUGGUCAGUGUGGGGCCUUAGUGGCUUGGAACCUGGUCAAUGAGGGCCUGGUCAGAGGGGGCUCGGUCAGCUAGGGACUCAUCCAUGGAGAAUUGUUUAGUGGGGGGUCGGGUCAGCAGCAACCUGGUAAAUUGUGGUCUUGUCAGUGGGAACCCGGUCUUGUCAGUGGGGACCAGGUCAGUGGAAAAUUGGUCAGUGGGGUCUGGUCCAUGAGGCCUAUUAAGUGUGGGCCUGGUUAGGAAGACAUGGUCAGCGGGGACUUGAUCAGUGGGACCUGGUCAAUGGAGGAGUGGUCAUUAGGGGCCUCAUCACUCAUCACUGGGAACCUGGUCAGGGAUGAUUCGUCAGUACGUGGCCUGCUGGCCACUAUUGGACCUUAGGCAGGGGGCUUUUCUCUGUCACCUCCUUGCCUCCAUCUGCAGGGAAGGUGAGUCAGGGCACCCUAGAGGGUGGCUGGAAAGAGAAGGUGAGAAGAUGUGUUGAAUCCAAUACUGCUUGACAAACCUACAACUUUACAAAUGACCUGUGUUCCACCUAGAGAGGGUGCCAGCCCUCUCAGCAGUAUGCAGUGCCUCUCUUCUGUCUACAUCCCCAGGACCACCAUGGGUGGGGAGGGCAGAGAUUGGGGAGCACCUAUAGAGGCUCUAAUGCUCUAAGGUGACAGUGAUGAGGACCUGGGUGCACCCAUGGGUGGAGAAGCUAGGCCUGUCCAGAGAAGCAAGACAAACACACACAUACACGCGCACACACACACAGGCACACAUGCGUACACAAACACAUUGUAUAUACACAUGUCAGUUCAGGGGAUAGAGGACACUGACUCUGAGCCCUGUUGACCCAAGCAGGCUCCCGUUGUGGUGGGUUGUCAACCCACAACAUCACUCUUCCUGAGUCCCCAUCGCCUCUGUGUUGUGGAGAAGUUAGAGACACACAGCAGUGUCUGUGAGUAGCUCUGCAUGAAGGACCAUUUUCUAGAUGACAGACACAUCUCAACACAGCUCACUGAUCAGACUCAGCAAUUCCAUUCUGCAUUUUUCUCAUCACCCCCCUGACCACCCAGGACAACCCCAUCAGGGCCCUGUCACCAGGCCCAGUCCAGCUCCAUGAUAACCAAGACACAGGUCCAGAGACUACCGUCCUGCAUCGUGCCUGCAUCUGAUCCCCCUUGGUGGGUAGUGACCAGCACAACAUGGAAGAAGCCAGGGCAGCAUGCAGCUCUGCAGCCCCAGAUGGCUCCUGGGCCUUGGGAAGUCAUUCUUAAAAGGGAAGCUGGUCACUUUGAGGUCCCUGAAAGGAAGGGUGAACGUGCAUCCCAAAAGCCCUGGCAGCCGGCAGCCAGCAGCCAGCAGCAUGGCAUACAUCUUCUCACCCAACCUGUGUGACAGAGGCCCCCUCCUGGGGCACAAGUCCCAUACCUAAAGCAUCCUGUCCCAGUCGGACCUCAUCCUGAGCCCUGGGAGGGGAGGGGCACCAUGGGUUCCCUGCAGCAGCCAGGAUUACCACCCAGGGGACUCGGCCUUCUGUGGCCCUGGCCAGACUUAGAAUUUGGCCCAAGACAAGCUUACUCGGAGCAACUUCUCAGUACCUGGGGCCUGUGCAUGCCAGGCAAGGACAAGCUGGCUCAAAGAGCAACCAGCUACCUCUGCAAGGGUGUGCCAGGAGCAGGUGGAGCAGUCACCAACCUCACCCACUCAAGGAAACAGGGAUGGCCAGGUUCCCACAGUCUGAAUGACCACCACCUGACAGCUGAUGGAGUGGAGGCCUGAGGAAAAGCAGAUGGCACUGGGGCUCUACCUCCAGGGCAGAGUAACUGAUUUACCCUGGCUGGCAGGGAGUGACGUUGGUGGCUGGUCUAUCAGCUCUUGGCACACCCUUGCAGAGGUGGCUGGUUGCUCUUUGAGCCAGCUUGGCUUUGCCUGGGAUGAAUAGGACUCAGUGCAACAAAUGUGCUGCAAAUGGAGCCACAUAGAGGAAAGGAGCAGCAGGCUCAGGAGCGGGGUGUGUGCCACCUUUGGGGCUCCAGUCCAUGCAUAGGGGCUUCUACAGCACUGUGGGCUUCUCAGGUGCCAAGAGGCAGAACACAGGCCAUCUGGAGGAUGACUCUGGUAAGAGCUUCCUUGGGUAUGUAGAUGAUGUCCAGAAUGUUGGCCUGGUGUCCCUGAGACAGCACUAACAGGUCCAUGACUGGGUCCAGGUCCUGCCUGGGCUGAUUGGCAAAGAGCUCAUUGACAGUGUGGAAUGCAUCUAUGGUGAAGUGGAUCUGUGUUCAAGUGCAGAAAGGGCCCAAUCUGGUAGAUGAACCACACAACCAGCGUCUGGGUGCAGGCACAGUGCCACAUUUUUUGUCACUUCCUGAUGUACCCCACCAGCACUGAAGAGACAGCCUGGAGACAGGGCAAGAGGAAGGCUGAGAAGGAUGAGAUGGUGAGUGCCAGAUUCUUCCUGGCCCUGAGCCCUCCCUCAGAGUGACACUCAACCUUUAGGAGUGGGAGAGCAAGAUUGACGGCUUCAAGUGCUUCACCAAGAAGAUGGACAACAGGGCUCUCAGGUCAACUUCACAGCCAAUGAGUGGUGACAGGCUUUAAGAAAGAGCAUCUUCCACAUUGUCAGUGAGCUCUUUGCCAAUCAGUCCAGGCAGGACCCCGACCCAGCCAUGGGCCUGUUAGUGCUGUCUCAGGGACACAAGACCAACAUCUUGGACAUCAUCCAGAUACACAAGGAAGCUCUUACCAAAGUCACGGAGAGCAGGCAACAUGUGGCAGAAGGGAAUACAGAGGUGCAGAGGCUGAUGAUGUCAGAAUCACAGGAACAGGAUUUCUUUGGCUACUUUGGCUGAAAUUCACCACUUCCAUCCAAUUCCAGUGAGAGACAUGGACUCACAGAUGCAGCAUUUCUUGCAACAAGAGAUACUACUUUUUCAAAAAGUCACUGAGGAAUUGAUAGUGUUGAAUGACUCAAUACUCAAUCGUGGACUGUUUCCAGUUCAAGGAUACUUUCUACAGCAGAAUAAUAACACUAGCAAAGAGCUAGUACAAGGAUGGUUUUGUGCUCAACUGAAAUCCAGCUGAAUACAGAAUUGUAUAGGAAACAGUUAAUGUGGUGAUAGAAUAGAAACAGUAGCAAAUGUGAACUAAAUCAUGCUAUGAAUGCCUAAACUACUGCUGUAACUUUUGGAAAAAUGAUAAUACCACUUUAUUGCUUUUUGAAGAAUGAAUAUUUUAGUGUAUAUGCUCUAGACCUCAAACCCUAUAAAGAUUCUCAAAGAAGUUGGCUGGAUAAAGCCUACUGUGGAUGUCUUUAUAUUCAAAGAUUGAUGAUGCAAUUUGAAUAUGUGUCUCCUCCGAAUCUCAUGUUGAAUUAUAUUUCCUAAUGUGGAAGGUGGAUCCUGGAGUAAGGUAAUUGAAUUAUGAAGGCAAAUUUCUCAUGAAUGGUUCAGCACCAUCCCCUUGUACCGUCCUCACAAUAAUGAGUGACUUCUCAUGAGGUCUGGUCACUGAAAACUCUAUGUCACCUCCCUACUCUCCGUGUUUUCCCCUUGCCAUGUGAGACAACUAAUUCUUUCUUUGCCUUCCAUGAUUAUUGAAAGAUUUCUGAGGCCUCCUAGAAGCAGAAGCACUGUGCUUAGAACCAUGAGACAAUUAAACCUAUUUUUCAAAAUAAAUCAUACAGAAAAUGGCAAAUGAGGACUGGAGCACUGCUAUAAAGAUACCUGGAAAUGUGGAAGCAGCUUUGGAACCCGGUAAUGGACGGAGGUUGGAAGAGUUUGGAAGGCUCAAAAGAAGACAGAUAGAUGAGAAAACUUUUGGACCAUCUUAGAGUCUGGCUCAAUUGUUGUGACAAAAAUCCUGACAGAAACAUGGACAAUGAAGACCAGACUGAGGAGGUCUCAGAGAGAAAUAAGCUUUCUGGAAAAUGUCUUUAUUUUUGAUAUGGAAAGCUUACACAAUGCCUGUACCAUCAUUGUACCUUAGAAGCAGUGAACUUGCUUUUUUCAGAGACUCAUAGGCAAAAGAGACUGCAGCCUUGACCCAGAUGAGAUUUGGACUUUGUAACUUUGAGUUAAUCCUGAAAUGAGUUAAGACUUUGGGAGACUGCUGGCAAGGCAUGAUUGUAUUUUGCAAUGUGAGAAGGACAUGAGAUUCAUGGGGUCAGGGACAGAAUAAUACGGUUUUUCUCUAUGUCCCAACCAAAACUCAUAUGGAAUUAUAUUUUGUAAUGUUAGAGGCGGGGCCUAGGUGGAAAAAGAUUUAGUCAUAAAAUGGUGCAGGUAGAUACUUCACGAAUGAUAAAGGACCAUCACCUUGAUGCUAUCCUCCUGAUAGUGAGUGACUUCUCAUGAGAUCUGGUUGUUUAACAGGCUGUGGAACCUCUUUCCUCACUCUGUCUUCCUCCUACUCCUGCUUUAGGAGACAUCUCAUUGUCCCUUGGCUUUCUGAUAUAACGAGGAGUCUUCCUGAUUCCUCCCAGAAACAGAAGACACAAUGAUUCCUUCACAGCUUGCAGAAACAUGAGUCAAUUACACGUCUUUUAUUUACAAUAAUACAGAAAAUUAGAACUGCAGAGAGGAGCUGUGAAAUGUCUUCAAGGCCUUUUACCCUUUGUCUUGGCUAUUAGCAAAGGGCUUCUUUAUAUGCAAAUUUCUGAAAUCUUCUUGAAUGUUUCCCCUUAAAUGGGAUUUUUGUUAUUGCUACCUAGCCAACCUGCUAUACAGAUAGCUAAAAAAGUAGAAGCAGGCUCAAUAGUGGGUAGCAAACAAAGAUUGGAAGGGCUUGGAGGGAUUAGAGUACUAGAGGGAGUGGGAGGGAGUGAUUUAAUCAUGGAUGGGUGGGGGUGUAUGUGGAAGGGAAAAAGGGGUGGGUAGGGUGGGAGGGAGUAGACUGGCUGUAUGGUGGUGGGAAGGUGGUGGGUAGUAGGAAGGGGGAGUAGCCUGCUGCAGAGGCAGAGCCUCAUGGAAAAUGCCUACUGGGGAAGUGCACCUGUGGCUUUGCAGGUCUGAGCCCCCAUGGCUGCUCUCAUAGACUGGACUAGUGUUGAGUGCCUGUAGCUUUUCCACACGGAGGGUGCAAGCUGUUGGUGGGUCUAUGUAUCUGAGGUCUGGAGGGUGGUAGCAUGGGGGCUCCAAGUCCAUAUUUUCCUUCUGCACUGCCCUAGUAGAGGUUUCCCAAGAACUCUUCGUCUGCAGGAGGCUACUGCGUGGAAACAGUAGGAGGUGGGUGUGGGAGGCAGAUCCUUCACCAAUGGUUAGGCAACGUCUUCUUGAUGCUGUCCUCAUGAUAGUGUGUUCUCAUGAGAUCUGGUUAUAUAACAGGGGGUGGCAACUCUUUCCUCUCGCAGUCUUGCUUCUACUCCUGCCAUUUGAAAUAUCUCAUUGCCCCUUGGCCUUCUGGUAUGAUUGGGAGGCUUCCUGAUCUGAUCCUCCCAGAAGCAGAAGCCACUAUGCUUCCUUUACAGCCUGCUGUAUAGUGAGCCAAUUAAACCUCUUUUCUUUAUGAUCAUACAGAAAAUCAGUGCUAUGAAGUGGAGCCAUGAAAUGCCUUCAAGGCCCUUUCCCCUUUGUCUUGGCAACCAGCACUCAGCUUCUUUUCAUGCAAAUAUCUGAAGCCUUCGUGAAUUUUCCCCCGAAAAUGGACUUUUCUGUUUUACCACAUUGCCAGGCUCUGAUAAAGAUAGCUGACAAUGUAGAACCAGGUUCAGAAGUGAGUAAAAGACAGAGGUCAGAAGAAUUGGGAAAGCUUAGAAGACAGCAAGAUGAGGAAAAUAUUGGACCACUAUAGAGAAUUGUUAAAUACUUGUGAUUAGAAGGCUGACAAAAGUUUAAACACUGAAGUCCAGACUUAAAAGGUCUCAGAUGAAAAUGAGGAAUUUCCUAUUAAUAGAAGCCAAGAUUACAUUUGAUUGGCCUUAGCAAAGAAGCUGGCUGCACGGGGACCCUGCCCUGGAGAUCUGUGAAACUAGGAACUUGGGGGUGAUGAUUUAGGAUGUAUUUGGUGAAAUGAACAUCUAGGCAGCAUAACACAAGAGGUGACCUGUCCGCAUUGAACAGCCUGUGUUCUUAAGGGUGACCUAAGAAAUGACUUCAAGUUGGAACUUCAAGUGGAGAUCUAAAGUUUGGAAAAUUUGGAGCCUGGCCAAGUAGUCAAAAAGAAAAGCCGAUUUUGAGGGGGAAAAUUCAAGAAGGCUUAGGGUAUUUGCAUAAAAAGGAACCCAGUGCAAAUAGUCAAGACAGUUUGAAACCGGCCUUGAAGGUAUUUUAGAGAAGUCUGCAGCAGCCCUUGCUGUCACAGGCCCCGGGGCCUAGGAGAGAAGAAUGGUUUCCUACGCCAGUCCCAUGGCCCUGC